ACCUUGCUGACGAGUGCUAAGUAGCACGAAACCCGGGUCCAAGGU
rfam:Schistosoma mansoni, Puerto Rico, WGS project CABG01000000 data, contig: 0034